AGCAGCUCUCUCUCUCUCUCCCACUUGGACUCGCCGCCACCAGCCUCACCGCCGCCGCUCGCGGAGCGGCGGCGCUCCUCUCUCCUCUAUCUCUCUUCUCUCUUCACCGUCGCGCCGCCAUCCUCACCGUUUUCUCCGUCCAGCCGCCACCGCUGCGGGUCCGCCGUCGUCGCGGGUUCGCAUCCCCGCCGCCAUCACCGAGAAUCUUUCCUCCAGUCGCCGACGCCGUUUCCGACAUGUAGGUGAUUCAAGGAAAGAAAAGGAAGGAUGUGUUUUUGGAGCGUGGGCUGCCAUCGUCGGCGACGGAGUGCCGAGCUCGUUGCCGUAAGUUCCUCCGGCAGGCUCCUAUGUCAUUUCAAGCUAAGUUCCCAUUAUUCAUUAAGAAUCUUAUAUUUUUAUGUUCUUUGGAUGCUAUGGCUUCUAUGUCCUUGAGGUGCUAAGAUGUCUAUAUGAAAUCCAUAUCAUGCUAAAUUGGUGAUAGGGCAGCAGAUUUUCGUCCCUAAAUUAAGUUUAUGAGUUCUUUGCUAGAGAUUGUUAUUUCUAUAUUUUCUUUGCUAUAGAUGCAAUUUGCUAGUAUUCGUCAGUGGCUAAAAUCUUGCCAUAUGCAUGUUGUGGAAAGAAGAAAAAAAAACUUAUGUCGUUAUUCCUCACCUUUUUAUGUGUUAGGAAAAAGCUUCACUACAACUUUCCACUGAUGUGUACGUCCUCUUUCUUUUUCUGCUUUGUUGGAAUUGAUUUGGAUUAGUGUAUUGUUUGGUUGGAGGUGGGGUAGUGAAGGCGAUGGCUGGUUGGUAUGUAUAUAAUAGUACAACAAGUGGUAUGACAAAAUCCUCUCAAAUAUUCUUUUAGCAGAGAAAAUGAUGAUUACACCGACAUCCCAUUUAAUGCACCAUUAAAUGCUGUCAGAAGGAUUAUUUUUCUUUAGAAAAUUUUGGGUUGCAGCAUUAAAUGCUGUGUAAGAGCCUCUGAAUCUGCCUUCCCUUUUGAAUUUUUUUUAUUAUUUUAUUUAUUAUUUUAUUUAUUUUUUUGUAAUUAUUUGAUUAUUUAAUUUGGUUUAGGUAUAAUCGGCUCAAGUUCGUGGCCGUCCAUGUAGAAGUGCCCGUCUUCUUAAAACAUAUGAUGCAUAAAUUAAAUUUUGUUGGACUUUAAUUGGAUGUAUAAGACAUCAAGAUUUUAAUUUUGGGAUCUUAUUUAUUUAUUUAUUUAUUUAGAUAUAUUAUAUUCAUAUAUGUGUAAUAUAUUUACAUGUUCUAUUCACUUGCCUGACAUCAAAACAAACAACAACGACAAUCUAUCUUAGCUCAGAUUUAAUCGCAUAAAAGUCACUUAUAUAGAUAACCAAGCUAAUAAUAUUGUUUCUAAUAAUAUCAGCUUAGCGGGUCGUUACAUAUAGGCAUAGUUUGAUGGCUAGCUAUGUUAAUUCUAGACUAGUUUAUUUAAACUAAUUUUUUUUAUCAUUUGAUAGUAUGGUUUAUUUAUCACUUUGAAUGAUGGAUUAGAUUGAAAGAAUCACAUAACAUAUAACAUGCAAGCAGUGGCGGAUCCAAGAAUUUUCGUUUGGGGGUGCGACAAACAAUUAUGGUUUUUUAAUUAUUAAAAACGUGAAGAUGUGCAUCAGAAGAAAAUCGAAAAGAUAAAAAGAAAGAGAAUUAAAAUCCUUAUGAAUAUUUAAAAAAUAUAUAAUGAUAAAGAUAUAAGAAAAUGGGUCAAUUUUUUUAGAAAUAGGAAAUUAUUGGUUUUUAAUGCAAUAGAAAAAACUAUACAGAAAAAAAUAUGUAUAAAAUACAUAAGUUCGAAAAAUAGAAAAAUAAAGAUAGGUGCCUUAAAUAAGUUUCUAUAUUCGAAUGCAGUUUUGAAAAAGAGAGAAAAGAAUAAAUAUGAGAAAUGUAAUAGUACUACUAUUUGCAUAAAUAAAAGUGGAAAGAAGUGAAACAUAAAAGAUGAGAAGGCGCAACUAAUAAGCUUCGAACACUGGUCUUAUGGAUGAAAGUUAGAGACACAACCUGUAACAUCCCGAAUUAUAGGCACCAAUAAAAGGUUUGGAUAUGUGGUGAGGAAUAGUAGUUAAGUUAAACCGUAAGGUAUAAAUUUGAUACGAAAUGCCGAUUAGUCAAUUUUCGGCAAUUUCUUUUGUCCGUGUAAAAUCAUAAAUCGAAGCUAAGGGGUAAUAAUUUUAUAAAUUACAAAUUAUGGCCUAGAAUAAUUGUUGAUAAUGUGAGGAAUUGUUUUGGGCCAUUUGAAGGUAAUUAAAAAAAUUUCUAUCGCCGAUAAUUUCAGUUUUUAACGAAAACGAUCGGCGAAACUUUUGAAGAUAUAGACAGGAAUAAUUUUGCCUUAAACUAGAAUUUAAAUGCUAAAUGAUGAUAUAAAGAGUUCCUAAAUAUGAUAUCAUAUGAUAGGGCAAUAAAAUGUUACAAGAUAAUUAAUUUAUUUAAAAACUAACUAAAUAAUUAAAUAAUGAUUAGAAUUCUCUAGAGAAUUCUUUUGUCUAUCAUCAACUCCAAACCCCCCCCCCUCAUUUCAGCCACAAGCACGUCCUCCCCCUCUCCAUGGAAGACCAAAAGCUUAAGCUUUUUAAUUUCCAAAUAUUUGUCAUUUAAUCGGUAAAUCGAUCGGGUAAUCUUGUAUCCGCCAGCAAAUCGAGGUUAGAGUCGACAUUAUGUCAGUGGUGUUGCGCAGCUUUGCAUCUUUGGCGAGUCACUGGUGGUCAACUUGGUUUAGUAGUCGUGGCAUGUUAUGUAAUAGUUUAAUCUUUAACCUUCCGCUGGAUAAAUGUUAAGUUUUUAAAUGUAAUAGAUUUUAAUUAUGCUUUUAAGCUAAAAAGAAAAAGGAAAAAUUUCAGCACGGGUUUUCGAUACUGAAACGUGACAUCACUUAUUCGGUGGGUUACCUACCGGGUAAGGGGUGUUACAAGUUUUGGUAUCAUAGCCUAGGUUUAGGCGGUUCUGGAAAGAAGUGAUUCAGUAAAGUGUGUAGUAACAUGCCACAUAGGUUUAAUUGUCUGUUAGUACCAGUGACUCGAUGCAGCUGCUUAUGUCUAAAGUGGAAAGAAGUUAACAAGGUACGGGACAUAGUUUCCCGUGUGACCGAGAAAGAUGUUAUAUGGGACUGGCCACCCCAUAUAGCUCUAAUCUCGGUAGCGUCGGUAUGUGUAAAAGAUUUAAAAAAAAAAAUUCAGGGAGGAUGGGUCUGAAAAUGUUGAUGAAAAGUAUGUCCUAAUGAAAGAUACUAAUAAAUAUAGGCAGAUUAUGAAAGAGUAUAAGUAAAAGAGAAGAAAAUGAGUUAAAGGAAUGAUAUGGAAAGAAAGUAAGUUAUAGACUAAGUGACCAUCAUGAUAUAAAAGUGUAACACGAAAAUUCACAAAGGUAUGUGGAUUGUCUGAUAUAAGAUGGAUUAAGAGUCAUAAAGUAAUAUCCUAUAAUGAUAAACAAAAGUAUAGAAAUAUGUGAAAGGAAAUGUGUUUGGCAAAAUGAUAAAUAUUGAUAUGAAAACAUAUGAAACUAUAAGGCAUUAUAUGAAUAAAACCAUAAAUGUGCGAAUGAGAAAAUGCGACGAAUAAGAAAUAAAUGAUAUGAUCUGAACAUGUGUGCCCAUAUAUGGAUUACAUGUGUACUUCGAAUCGGGCAAUAUGAGAUAUGACGUGAUGUGAUGGAAAUAUGAACUGAAUAAUCGUGCAAGACAAUAAAUUAUAUGAUUGGAAAUGUGAACUCCGUGAGAAUUAUGUGUGCGCUCGAAUACGAGCUAUAUAAAUGUUAGAACCGAAUGAUGAUUCAGAAAUGAAAUGGAAAAUGGGAAUGUAUGCUCUAAGCGAGCUGUAUAGUAUAUGAUAAGGUAUGUCUAAAAAUAUGAGUUUGAAAUUGAGCUAUAUGAUAUAAAAUGGUAUUCUGGUUGAAAGUGUUGUCUGUGAUCUGUAAAUGUGUUAGUUAUGGAUAAGAAUGAGUUUUGAAAAUAAAUAUGGUUGUUAAUGAAUACUGACUUGAUAUUUGAAUUAUGUUGUGAUUUGGUGGUUUGAUUUGAUAAUCUGUGAUUAACAUUGUAUCUUGUUGGUUUUGGGGAAGCACUGGUUAUAGAGAAAACGCUGCCCAAUUUUUGCUAGAAAUUGAUCAGAUAAAUUAAUACGAAGUUGUGGUAAAUAAACUGAUAAGUGAUAAUACAUGAAGAGAAUGAUGUUACAUGAUGACUUAAGAAAGGAAAAAGGGAAAAGAUAAGAAGUGUUGUGAAUGAUAAUAAAGGAAAACGUAAUGAAAUAAUGAUAUGUGGAAAGUGAAAUACACCCUUCGUCGGCUAUAAGUGCCCGAAUAGGGACUAUGCAAUUGGGACUAUACAAUAUAUGAUGAGUAUGUGAAUUAUACAUAUGCGUGAUGAAUAUGAUAUGUGCGCCUUAUGUGGACAAAGAAAAGAUGCAAAUAACAUGGAAAUUACUAUGUAAAGAAAUGAUAAUGUGACAAAUGUGCUUGAAAUAUAUUAGAGAUAAUGAUAAUAUUAUUAUGUGAUCGCAAAAUGUGGCUAUGUGUUAAGAUGUGAUUAUGUGAUUUUGUAUGUCAUUCUGUGUUUGGUUAUGGAAGUGAGGAUACGCUAUGUAGAUGAGGAUAUAGGAUGUCGUGGAAUGGCAUACGUAUAUGCGACGCUUAUAGGAAUGAUGUAAACCCGAGGGAAUUUCGAGGACGAAAUUCCUUUUAGGGGGGAUGAGUUGUAACAUCCCGAAUUAUAGGCACCAAUAAAAGGUUUGGAUAUGUGGUGAGGAAUAGUAGUUAAGUUAAACCGUAAGGUAUAAAUUUGAUACGAAAUGCCGAUUAGUCAAUUUUCGGCAAUUUCUUUUGUCCGUGUAAAAUCAUAAAUCGAAGCUAAGGGGUAAUAAUUUUAUAAAUUACCAAUUAUGGCCUAGAAUAAUUGUUGAUAAUGUGAGGAAUUGUUUUGGGCCAUUUGAAGGUAAUUAAAAAAAUUUCUAUCGCCGAUAAUUUCAGUUUUUAACGAAAACGAUCGGCGAAACUUUUGAAGAUAUAGACAGGAAUAAUUUUGCCUUAAACUAGAAUUUAAAUGCUAAAUGAUGAUAUAAAGAGUUCCUAAAUGUGAUAUCAUAUGAUAGGGCAAUAAAAUGUUACAAGAUAAUUAAUUUAUUUAAAAACUAACUAAAUAAUUAAAUAAUGAUUAGAAUUCUCUAGAGAAUUCUUUUGUCUAUCAUCAACUCCAAACCCCCCCUCAUUUCAGCCACAAGCACGUCCUCCCCCUCUCCAUGGAAGACCAAAAGCUUAAGCUUUUUAAUUUCCAAAUAUUUGUCAUUUAAUCGGUAAAUCGAUCGGGUAAUCUUGUAUCCGCCAGCAAAUCGAGCGAAGGAGCAUAUAGUGCGUUUUGAUCACAAAGGAGUGGAUUUAGAGGGUAGAGAAGUAUCAAGGUGAAAUAGGCUUAUGUUCAUAAGCCUGCGAGGUUAGAGUCGACAUUAUGUCAGUGGUGUUGCGCAGCUUUGCAUCUUUGGUGAGUCACUGGUGGUCAACUUGGUUUAGUAGUCGUGGCAUGUUAUGUAAUAGUUUAAUCUUUAACCAUCCGCUGGAUAAAUGUUAAGUUUUUAAAUGUAAUAGAUUUUAAUUAUGCUUUUAAGCUAAAAAGAAAAAGGAAAAAUUUCAGCACGGGUUUUCGAUACUGAAACGUGACAUCACUUAUUCGGUGGGUUACCUACCGGGUAAGGGGUGUUACAAGUUUUGGUAUCAUAGCCUAGGUUUAGGCGGUUCUGGAAAGAAGUGAUUCAGUAAAGUGUGUAGAAACAUGCCACAUAGGUUUAAUUGUCUGUUAGUACCAGUGACUCGAUGCAGCUGCUUAUGUCUAAAGUGGAAAGAAGUUAACAAGGUACGGGACAUAGUUUCCCGUGUGACCGAGAAAGAUGUUAUAUGGGACUGGCCACCCCAUAUAGCUCUAAUCUCGGUAGCGUCGGUAUGUGUAAAAGAUUUAAAAAAAAAAUUCAGGGAGGAUGGGUCUGAAAAUGUUGAUGAAAAGUAUGUCCUAAUGAAAGAUACUAAUAAAUAUAUGCAGAUUAUGAAAGAGUAUAAGUAAAAGAGAAGAAAAUGAGUUAAAGGAAUGAUAUGGAAAGAAAGUAAGUUAUAGACUAAGUGACCAUCAUGAUAUAAAAGUGUAACACGAAAAUUCACAAAGGUAUGUGGAUUGUCUGAUAUAAGAUGGAUUAAGAGUCAUAAAGUAAUAUCCUAUAAUGAUAAACAAAAGUAUAGAAAUAUGUGAAAGGAAAUGUGUUUGGCAAAAUGAUAAAUAUUGAUAUGAAAACAUAUGAAACUAUAAGGCAUUAUAUGAAUAAAACCAUAAAUGUGCGAAUGAGAAAAUGCGACGAAUAAGAAAUAAAUGAUAUGAUCUGAACAUGUGUGCCCAUAUAUGGAUUACAUGUGUACUUCGAAUCGGGCAAUAUGAGAUAUGACGUGAUGUGAUGGAAAUAUGAACUGAAUAAUCGUGCAAGACAAUAAAUUAUAUGAUUGGAAAUGUGAACUCCGUGAGAAUUAUGUGUGCGCUCGAAUACGAGCUAUAUAAAUGUUAGAACCGAAUGAUGAUUCAGAAAUGAAAUGGAAAAUGGGAAUGUAUGCUCUAAGCGAGCUGUAUAGUAUAUGAUAAGGUAUGUCUAAAAAUAUGAGUUUGAAAUUGAGCUAUAUGAUAUAAAAUGGUAUUCUGGUUGAAAGUGUUGUCUGUGAUCUGUAAAUGUGUUAGUUAUGGAUAAGAAUGAGUUUUGAAAAUAAAUAUGGUUGUUGAUGAAUACUGACUUGAUAUUUGAAUUAUGUUGUGAUUUGGUGGUUUGAUUUGAUAAUCUGUGAUUAACAUUGUAUCUUGUUGGUUUUGGGGAAGCACUGGUUAUAGAGAAAACGCUGCCCAAUUUUUGCUAGAAAUUGAUCAGAUAAAUUAAUACGAAGUUGUGGUAAAUAAACUGAUAAGUGAUAAUACAUGAAGAGAAUGAUGUUACAUGAUGACUUAA